CACUGUGUGUGAUUAACUAAAACAGCCUGCUGACGGUUUGGAAUAAACCUGCUUUUUUCCAUUUAGCAUUUUAUCAAAUGAAUGUAAUUUUGCUUACUGAUGAAUUUAGUUCAGCUUCAAAGGAAUUUUUCUCUUCUUCAUGGGGAGGCUGGAGAAUCAGAACUGUCAUGCUGAAGAAUGAAACGCCUAGGGAGAAAAAGAGUCUGAUGUUUACAUGGGUAAAGCAAAAGUAUCUUUAUGGAUUUUACCCUGCCCUCUCCCCUGAGUUUUUAUAAGUUGGAAGCCAGGCAGUUUCCAUCAGCCACGGACUUGUGUGCAUGCAUGGUUUCCUGUGUGUCAUCGGUGUUUGUGAAUCGUGACAGCGAGUCGAGGGCUGCAGGAGCCAAGGCUAGCACGUUGUCACCUGCCAGAUGGGAGGAGUCCUGCAAAAUCCUCUUGGCUUCCCUGGCAGAAAUGAGUACAUCAACACAGCAGGCCAUGCCAAUCACGGAUGACUAG
rnacentral:lncRNA from 1 species